GUGUGUGUGUGUGUGUGUGUGUGUGUGUGUGUGUGUGUGUUCAAAAAUUCAAAAGCUCUCAUGGAACGUUAAGAUAAAACGAGGUCAGAGAAGCGUGACGUCAUUUUGGCGGGGGAAGUCCUGGAGGCGGAUCCUUGCGAAAGGAUUGUCGCCCGGUGAAGUCCAUCGCUAACCAGCUUAUAUUUGGCACAGCAGUGACACUGACAUGGUAUCUGGGUGUUAGUGUUGUACUGCUAAUAUGAUGGGAUUUACUGUGACCAGUGACCACUGUUCCUGCCCUUCUCCUCUCCUCGGAUCUGCCCACUUCGUCCCAGCCUGCUUCUGGAUGGUGUUCUCUUUGACUGGAGGCCACUCUGGCCACACUGACUUUAGGACUAUAGUUUGCAUCUGAUCACAAUCACUGCACAACAUAAUUGAUCUGUAAUAAAUGGACACUCGAUGCCAUGCAGAAGAGGAUUCGGUUCCCUCGAGUCUGGUUUCUCUCAAGGUUUCUUCCUUAUCCCUUCUCGGGAAGUUUUUUACCUUGCCACAGUCACCACCAGCUUGCUCAUCAGGG